rnacentral:lncRNA from 1 species
GGGACACUCUGGACUGGGGGACACUCUGGACUGGGGGACACUCUGGACUGGGGGACCCUCAGGGCUGCGGGACACUCUGGUCUGCGGGACACUCUGGACUGGGGGACACUCUGGGCUGGGGGACCCUCAGGGCUGCGGGACGCUCUGGGCUGGGGGACCCUCAGGGCUGCGGGACGCUCUGGACUGCUGACCCCUCACCCACACCCAGCCUUUUCUGCCCCAUCCGCCCUCUGUGCAUAACCUGGGGGUACAACAGGCUCGCGCUGUGGCUUCAGUUGUGCUUCCGUGUCCCGGGGGCUUCCAACUGGGUCCUGCAGGAGCUGAGACAAUCUCCCUGCUUCGCUUUCAUCCUCCGGGCGUGUCCUGCUUCUUCCCGAGAGAAGCCUCUAAGAUAUGACUUGUACAGGAAUCAUACGCUCUCUCCUCUCUCUGUCUCCCAGGCUGGAGUGCAGGCGCGAUCUGGGCUCACUGCAGCCUCCACCCCCUGGCUCAAGCCUCCCACCCCAGCCUCCCAAGUAGCUGGGAUUACAGGCCCUUUAUAGAAAACCCUGAGGUUUUCCAAAGAAGGGGUGAUUCUGCUUCAAAACUGCAACCCUGUCUGAGUUUCCAGCCUGCAAACACCAGAUUCAAAGCUGCUUCAGAACUGCAACCCUACCUGAGUUUCCAGCCCGCAAACACCAGAUUCAAAGCUGCAGCAUCAACUCCUCCCUGAGUCUUCAGCCUGACAGGCUGCUCUACAGAUUUCAGAUUUGCCAGCCCCUACAAUUCUGUGAAUCAGUUCCUUAAAAUAAACAUUUCUCUCUAUAUUUAUGCAAAUGGAUAAAUGAUGGAUAGCUGUAGAUUUCACUACAUAGAUAUAGAUAUAUAGAUCAAGGAGAUCUCCUAUUGGUUCAAUAAAUCUAUUGGUUUUGUUUCUUUGAAGAGCCCUAAACAGUAUUUUUGCUUACUUUUUAAAAUUAGUAUAUUCACCUAUUUCUUACUGAGAAAAUUUACUUAAUAAAAUGAUUAGCCCUUUAAAUGUCUCAUGAUGCUAGUAUUUUUCUCAUCGUUUGUGGUUUGCUUUUUUGUUUUCCAACAAUAGAAGUGUUUAC